UACGUAGGGGGCGAGCGUUAAUCGGAAUUACUGGGCGUAAAGCGUGCGCAGGCGGUGAGCUGUGUCCGAUGUGAAAGCCCCGGGCUUAACCUGGGAAUGGCAUUGGAAACUGGCUCGCUGGAGUGUGGCAGAGGGGGGUGGAAUUCCGCGUGUAGCAGUGAAAUGCGUAGAGAUGCGGAGGAACACCGAUGGCGAAGGCAGCCCCCUGGGCUAACACUGACGCUCAGGCACGAAAGCGUGGGGAGCAAACAGG
rnacentral:rRNA from 1 species